rnacentral:sRNA from 1 species
AGGUGAAGGGUAUACGAGCCAGGGGACAAGGCAGUGAGUCACAGGAGAGAAGGGGUCCUACACAGCGCUCAUUCCCAGGCAAGCUUCACAAGAGUCGGGGGAGCUGCAGGCUCCUGGAGCCAGGGAAACUGCUCGUCAGCGUGGCCCUCAUCCCCUCACACAGAGCAUGGAAGUAGGAGGAGCGGCUGCUGGUGUCUGGUCUUCUGGGGCUGUAGUGGAUCCUGCUUUCUAACGUGGAGUCUGUGCCAGUUCUGGGUAAUCGGUUUCAGAAACACACAGCAGACUUGACUCAUGCUUCCUGUCUCCUCCAUUCACAAUACCGCUUAUCUCUCAAUGGCUUCACAGAGGCAAACAUGGUACUCGUGUCUCCCCACUCCUGACCAUCCUGCCACAUCCUGUUCUUGAGGAAAUGAUUAAAUUGGUUGAGUAGCUGAAAUGUUCAACUUUUACUUUUCUUACCUUGGCGGCAGAGGGAAGGCCCUUGAAGGUAUUUCAGGGAUGUGAGGAGACUACUGGAACACACAAUCCUGGAGAUGGUCUGGUAUUUGUCUUCAGUAAGUGGAUGUUGGGCUUUUCCUCACAUUCCUAGCCUGUAGAUCAGUCACAGCAAAAGAAUAGAGACC